ACUGCUCCUAGCGACCCCGCGUUUACACGCGCGCGUGCCGAAUGUGCAGCUAUCCGGGAUGGUCUCCGACUUUCCGGGUGAUUCCGGCCAAGCUCAUCAUCGUUCACUCGAGUGCACUCGCUCGCCGUAUCCAUCAUGCGGGCGAGGGCUACGGCUACGACACCGGAUAGGGCAUGAAUAAUUGCAGAAUGCUCCAAAGACAGCGCAAUCGGCCGAGGGAUGUGCUGCUCUUACGCACUCACAAUGUUUACACUGAUCUGCUCCUACAAUGGAGUUCGCGAAGGUCUGCCAGCGAGCUUCCGGGGAUCUGCCAUCGACACCAAAUGAACUGCAGUUUUAAAAGCUUAGUGCGCAAAUAAAAAGAGUAGAGAUGUGG